AAUAAUUUCGAAGACGUCGAAUGUAUUAAUAUGUAUAUUGUAUAGUAUUAUUGUAGAUAAUCGCCGGUCAGUGACCGGAAUCGACAAUAUCCAAAUACGCUCUAAUAUAAUAUAGGCUUCAGUCGGGCCGGGAGGACGUGUGCCGCCGAGAGAAUUGAUUCUGGCGGCGGCAAACGGUCGUCGCGGAAACGGAAACGAUCAGACGGCGGCGGUAGCGGCGCGCGCUUUGAAUAUUUGAUUGGGCCGAAACUUCCGAAUUCGGUCGCCCACGAAAUUCGGAAACACGGCGCGGGUCCGGCGGCGCGACAUCCGGCAAUGUACGUAGUCGUAUGGAGAUUGGAGGUACACGAUCGCGGUAUCGACCGAAAAUACAACGACGACGGCUGGUAAACGCGUGGCAACGGGUGUACGUGGACGAAUGGUACCUAUAUAAAGCCGUAUUUUUGGGGGGCCACGGUGAAUCUGCCGGGCGUCAGGUAAAGGCGACUAUACAGGUAUAACGUGUGUAAGAUUGACGGCGUGAUCGGCGGCGGAGGAGGAUCGUCGUGGAAACAGCAGCCCGUCGGCCCGUCAGAAACAGCAGCGGCCACGGACAGAACCAAGCAAAGCAGCUGUUGCGUGCACCUGGUGCCCAGGACGAUGACGACGUCGACAACGACGACUACGACGACGACGACGACGACGGCGAAGACCUCGCGGGCCUUAACACACACACACUCGCACACAGGCACAGACACGUUUGGAUGAGGAGACGGCAGCUGGUCGGUCGGUGAACAUUAAUAUAAUAUACAUAUAUAAACGCAUGCACACAAACCCCGAGGAAGACAGUCGCGGGGCACAGACACACGAGCAUACGAAUAAAAGGUACCUUUUUUCACCCCCCGCCCGCCCCCGCUAACCCGCUCGCGCUGCACCCCGACCGACCGGUAUAUAAUAAUAUAAUAUACGAGUUAUAUAACAUGGCGAAACACGUAUGUGUGUGCGUGUAUAGGUCCUACCGUGAUUUUCCCGCCAAAAAACCUCACCAUAUAAUAUUGACCUCGCCAGGCCAUCGGCACCCGCACACCACCUGCACACGCGACCUUAUACACCAAGAUUCCCGCCAAAAUACACCUGCUGCUGACUGUUCUCUCUCUCUCUGUCAGUCUCUCCGUGUAUAUUAUAGGUACCUACCUACCUACCUAUACCUUUAUUAUCACCUGCUUUUUUAUUUUAUAUGUGUGUGUGUGUGUUUUUUUCCUCAAUGCCUUGUGCUCGCGAACGUCUAUCGUUACUCGACGGUCUCGUUAUUAUACAUAUAUAUUAUUAUAUUAUUAUAAUAUAAAAUACAUUUGUGUGUGUGAGUGUAAAAACUAAAAAUCGGUUCUCCUAUAGACUGCAACAGCUGUUCCGGCGACGGUGGCAUAUACAAUGAAAAUAAGACCCUGUUGCUCGGCUAACAUUUUAUAUAUAGGUAUGUAUAUACAUGUAUAUAGCAGACGUGAUGUAUAGGUUUAUAGAAGUGUGUACAGUAGAAAAUUUUACCUAAAGUACAAUUUUUUUCUUUUUGGUGCGGUGCCUGUACGUGAAAAAUAGGAUUAUGUUUCGAGCAACCAUGCAAUCUAUAGACAACUAUAUGGGUAGGAGGUAUAACCAUAUAACCGACCCUCGCGACAAGCCCAUACGCAGAUUAAAACCAAUACACUAUACCUACUGUACCUAACCUUAUUAUAUUUAUGUGACCAUUACGUAUUGUAUAUAAUAAUAUAUUUUAUAAGACGCACCCCGCAGACGACGACCGUGUUACGCAACAUCAUCGCGGGUGCAACGCGGUUCAGACGUACGGGUAGGGGUGCCGCGCUGAAGGUCAGACGAUCCCUGCGGGAGAAGGCCGUCGUCGUAGUAAAUAAUAAUAAUAAGGGCUUGGAUUUAUGAACAUAAUAUAUAACUAUGGUGCGCGAUCACGUAUUUUUUCGAAAAUGCGAUUGGCCGAUUUUGACACGCUUUUCGAUAUACGAGUAUACUUGAAUGUAUAACGUGCUAAUUUUUAUUUUUUACAGGAAGUCGUAUGUUUUCCUUAAUGGCUUAUUCAAAUGUAUUGAAUUCGUCUUUGAAUAUAAAAAGAAACCUUUAGAAAAUGUAUAACACAUUGAAAAAAACUGACAUUCAUUUUAUAAAGUGUGAAUCUGUAAAUUCACUAUCGUGUUCUUUUCAUUUUUUCUUUUAUUAAUGAAUUUGUUCGUAUACGUAGGUACCAAUUUAUUUAUUUUUAUUUUUAAGAUUUGUUGCUAUUAUAGCACUAUGUGUUCAAAAGAAAUUGGUAUUGCAGCUGCCAGUAACACUCUUAAAUGGCAUAUAAAAUCUAAGUAUUUAAAAAUAUUUCGUAGAGUAUACAAAAAUCAAAAUUUGAAUAAAUCCAUUAUUAAGCGGAAAAAUAGGAGUGAAUAUUUGGUGAAUCACUAUUUGUAUAUAAGUGCAAUAAUUCAAUUUUUGAAAGUUACAGUUAUGAAAAAUAAUCUAAAGAAACAUUUCAAAUGUUAUUUCAAACGGUCAUAAAAAUAGAUAUGAAAAAUGACAAUAUAUAUAGCCUAAAUGUAUUCAAAUUCUAGUAAUAUUGAGUAAGUAAAAAAAACAAUUGUGUAAGUAUAAGUUUUGGGUAGAAAAUGGGAUUCUUUUUUAUUUGUGCACUACAGAUUGGGUGCAGUACCGACAGGUCUACUGUAUUUUUACUACUUUCUCCAAAUUUAAAACCACCCCUAAAUAUUUAUAAUAUAUGUAUUUUAUAAUAAUAGGUGUUACAUUUUUUUCAUCUAUAGUAGGUAAUAUACAUUAACAGUAAACACACAUAUUAUUUGAAUAAUUUUAAACAGCAUUUAUUAUUAUUUAUAUAUUAACCUAUAAUAGAACUAUAUGUAUAUGUAUUUAUUUUUGUAAUCAUUAAUAAUUGUUUAACUUGCAAUAGUCGUAGAGUCGUACA